rnacentral:lncRNA from 1 species
UGAAAAACCGGAAUAACAGCGUACGUCGAAGUAAGGAGGAUGAAGCCUGGAGGGAGAGGAAUCAGAAGAGGUCUUCGCUUCCUUCUUCCGCAGUAAAGCGGUUUCUCUCGCCAUUUCUCGAUUACUUCCUUUUCGUUUCUUGAAUCGAAUUUGUUGAUAAAUUGAAUGAGGGAGUCGAUGCGGUUUUGAUUAAUACGAUGGGAAUUUGCGAAAAAUUGGAGGUCAAUUUCAAAUUAAAAAAAUUCAAACUUAUUUUUGGAGGGAUUUAAUUUUUUUGGGAAGGCAACAGGUGGAAUUUUUUUUUUUUUAAAAAAUACUUUUUAAGAUGUAACCUCCGCGUCAGGAUAUAUAUAUUUUUUUCAUUUUAACUGUUUCGUGAUGGACUGAGGUCAUGUUCAUGGCUUAGCGAGUACUGCGCACCCUAAUUCUUAUAAAUAAAAGUUUAUUUAUUUAUUUUAAAUUUUAAGAGUAUUAGAUUUAAUUAAAGUGAAAUUCAUAAUUUAUAUUCGUAGUUUUAUAAGUAACAAUUUUUAUUUUUUUUCUGAUUGUAAAAAAAGUAAACAAAUAUUCAUUCUAUACAGUGGACGAAAGUGAAACAUGCUUUUAUUAUUGUCUUCAUAUGGCAGUAUAUUUUCAUCAAUUAUUAUAUUUUAUUAUUUGUUUUUGAACAUUCAAUGAAUCAGGUCAAUUCAAGUUUCUUCAUCUUAAACGAGCCUCUGACCCAGGCCUCAACCCAAGAGGGCUGUCACAUGGACAAGGAGACACAGACAUUUCUGGUUAGUACAUAUUUCUUCCCUCUUAAUAAUCUUACACACUAUAGUUAAGCUUAAUUAUGUUCGAUCAAUAAAUUUCACGAAGUUUAUGAAUUUGUGAAAGAAUCAUGUAAAAUUGUUG